UCCCUUCUGCCCUCCUGUGCCUUGCCCUCCCGUACCUGAGGGUAUCGCCUCCCUGUCGGCAGGCUGGGAUUCCAUCUCCAACAUUCCCCUCCUCAUCCCCUUUUCCCAGCUCCGUCUCCUCUCCCAGAUCCCACCAGUGGCUAUUCACCAUCAACACCUGUUCGGGGUCCCUCGAAGUGUUUCGGUGUGUAUACUCUGUAUCACUGGGCAAAGAAAUGCCAGAACAUGAAAUCUCCUGUGUGCUCUGCAUCAGAGCAGCAGAAGCCAAGGACCAGUAACUGCCCUGGCACCAGUAACUCAGGGAUUUUGAUUUUCCUGAAACAGAUUUUCCUAUGUGCUGCUGAAAAGCUGAAAAAUGGGUCGAUGCUCAUUGAUGCCUAGAACGUGUCCUGGUUUGGGGGUAUCAGUGGAGAGUGAUUCUCCUGCUGCAGACCAACAGCAGAAAAACUGUGUGGAGCAUGAGGCAUCGUUUUGUUAGGCCUAACACCGUAUCUGCAUUGAAUAUUAGAACAGUUGGAUGUAUUUAGGUGUACUGUUGUGCCAAGAUAUUUUGUAGGUCUUACCACGUGCUAAAAACUAGAGGAUGGAUGAAAAAACCAAAGUGUAUUUUUUUUCUCAAUAAUAUAUUGGGAUGCAUCUUUUCAUUACCCAAGCAACUCUUACAUGAUAAGGCUGUAGCUGUGGUGCAAUGUGUUCAAGCUUCUCUCUGCACCCAUGAGAACAUUUUAAAAUUGAGACUUGAGUUUUUCUUUGGGGUAUGUACAGCCUACUGUGGUGUAGGUGUUGCAGUGCUGGACAAACUGGGAUAGCUGUGUGGCAUAGCUCCAUGUAAAGGUAUUAAUGCAGGUCUGGGACCAGUGCUUGGAUAAUUCCUUGUUAGCAGGGCCAAUGAGUUGUGCUUUAUGCAUUGGUAAUGUUAGUCCCUGCUGCUAAGUUUCUGGACCUUGUUGAGGUUUGGUCACAGUGUAGGACAGACACUUGUCUACUCACUUGAAUCCAAAAUCCAGAGCCACAAGGAGAAGGAAAUAGCAUCACACUGAUUGUGAUAGAAGUACAAUUUUGAAAAUGCUUUCACAAGGGAAAUUAUAGCUAAGGCAUUCAGCAGUGAUUACAUGAUUUCAAGUGCUUUCAUUUCCAGGUGCCCUACUAGCUACAUCUUCAAGAAAUCUUACUUUAUGAAAAUGGAUGCUCAGCAUUUCCAGGUUACCUGAAGAAAAUUGUCUUUUUGGAGUCCUAUUCUUGGCUGGAAGAUGUGGGGGAAAUGGGGAGUGAGGCACAAGAACAGAUUGCCCAGAGAAGCUUCUAGAGAACACAUCCCUAGGAUUGUUAAAGGCCAAGCUGGAUGGAGCUUUGAGCAACUUGGGCUAGUGGAAGUUGUCCAUGCCCAUGGCAGGGGAAAGAAGAGAAAGAACUUCUGAAAGGCUAGGAGAACAAAAAGAGAGAAGCCUCUGAAAUCCUU